UACGUAGGUGGCAAGCGUUGUCCGGAUUUACUGGGCGUAAAGGGCGCGUAGGCGGCUCGGCACGUCCGUUGUGAAAUCGCCCGGCUCAACUGGGCGGGGUCGGCGGAUACGGCCGAGCUGGAGCAAGCUAGGGGGUAAUGGAAUUCCCGGUGUAGUGGUGGAAUGCGUAGAUAUCGGGAGGAACACCAGUGGCGAAGGCGGUUACCUGGAGCUUUGCUGACGCUGAUGCGCGAAAGCGUGGGGAGCGAUCCGG
rnacentral:rRNA from 1 species